CUGGAACACGUUGGAUUCCGUACAAACUACUUAUGAGGAAGCGAGGGUCAAACUGCCAGAGCCUGAAAGAUUCACGGAUUUGACUGAUUCAGAAACCAGCCACAGAGACACAAACGGAGAACAAUGAAGAGGUGUCACAUUCAAGAUGAUGCGGAUAGUGAAGAUGAGACGUCGGGAGCAUCUACUUUACCUAGACCUCCAGAAAUGGCCACUGCAAAGAAGCUGUCACCCUCAAUCCUACAAUGGCGGGCGGAUGGACAGACAAACGGACAAAGAAACCCCAACGAUUACUUUACCUCUGCUGGCGGAGCGGGCAAAGUUUUACAUCAGAAGAUGACAAGAAUGCAGUAAGAAGAAAUCCAUUGACAGCCACAGCUACAGACCAGGAUAUUGAGCAGUGGAUUCGAAGGUGGCUCCAUGUUGCUGGGGACAGAGAAGGAGGACGCCGAGCCAGGCAGCGGCCUGAGUAAACUGACUGUUCUGCCGAAAGAAUUUCUGAUGUUACUUGUUGUAGUAGUAGUUCUUGUUUUAAAUGUUUAAGCAGGUUGGCUUUACAGCCAACACACACACACACACACACACACACACACACACACACACACACACACACACACACACACACAGUUUAUGCGUCCAGAUAGCAAACUAU